GCCGCUUUCCGCCGCCGGCGGACUGUGGAGUCUCCGCCAUUUCACGGAUCCGUGGCCCGCCGCCGAUGACACACCGGAUUUGAGGGAGGCUACAGGCUUCGCGGUGUCAAAGUCGCCCGGGCGGCACGUCAAGGUCGGGGCCAGACCGGCCCGUGUUCGCCCCCCUCCCUCCGCCGCGCCGGCCUUCGAAUCCGCCGCCGUCCACCCCCAAUCGGUGUCUUCCACGGUCCCGGCCUCAUCCCCUCCCUUGCAAGGCAUCCGCUGCCCCGGGUCAGUGGCACCAUUUUUCUCUGCCGCCUGCCUUGCUCCGUUGCGCCGGCCGGCCUCCUUGCUUCACCCACAGCACGGCGCGUGCCUACCUUGUGCGGGAUCCGGCAUCCCACCGCCAAACCAUCCCCCAUUCCCCGCUCCACCCCGGCUCUGUGGCCAUCCUUGUGCUCCCCACAGCAAGCUCCCCCCCCACGGCCUUCAACCUCAUCCAUUCCACACCCUCCAUUGCUCCUCCCGUCCCGCUGGUCUGCACCCUUGGCAGCGGUGUGCCAUGGCCGGCCAAGGGGACAACGGGUUCGGCAACUACCCACAGCCGGACCCCUGGUUCUCGACCGGCUUCAACCCCUACUUCGGCUCGUCGUCGAGCCAAGCGCCGGGCACCGGAGGCAUGCUACCGCCGCCGCAUGGGUUGUCCGGUUUCAGUAGCGCACCGCCGGGCAGCGGAGGCCCCAAUGUGCCGCCAUUUCCUUACUCUGGGUACGAGCAUCACUCCCUGUACUUCGGCGCUCCUCCCACAGUAAUGCCCCCCACGGAGCCAUGUCUGCACUGGCGCAUCCGUACUACUAAUGAGCACCUCCUACCAGCGGACACUCCCUUGCAGAACCUGCAAGGCAUUCCACCGCAUCCAUGGUGCCAUGGGAUGGUGGACCCUCUGCAUCCGUCCCGUCGAUUCCAAUGCCUCAAGUUCAUUGCGUAUACGGGCAAUGCAAUAAUGGGUAACCUUUGCCAUGGGCUCCGGUUGCUAUGGGCGACGAUAUCUCUGCUUCCUCAGCUCCCGGACGUCGGAUCACCCCAAGCCAAACACGCCGGGAGGCGCCGUCCCCCGUUCCUAUUCCGUCAAGCAACGAUGAGUCAAAUGCAUCCGAGGAUGAUGACGCUGGAUUGUCGUCGAACAAGACCCGUAGAGCCAACUGGAAUGAUUCUCGAACGGAAGCGUUUUGUGAACUAUGGCUGGAACAAAUGCAGCAAGGAAACUGUCAAGAGGGUAAAAUGUCUCGUUUAGGGUGGAGGAACCUGGUUAAGGCUUUCAAAGAAAGAGCAGGGUGGAACCAUGAUAAGAAUCAGUUGCUUGCUAGGUACCGGUAGCUAAAAAUCUUCCAUGCUUGUUUGACUGUAUUGAAAAGCAGCACAGGGGGUGGCCGAGCAGGGGGCGGCUACAAGGCCUGCAAAGAUGUUUGGGAUCACUACACUAAAAAGCUGAAGGAGGUGGAGCGCUUGAAGUUCGAGGAGCCAAGUUGGGCUUCUUUGCUGCCCGCCAUGUUCAAGGAUGUUGCCAUUAAGUGGGGCUCCAUGCUUGGAACAGCGGCCGCACGGAGCACAGAAGAGCGGGAUUCCGCGGACACCCCUGCCCAGGAUAGCACCUCUCUACCAACAUCAGGUAGCCGCAAGAGGGGAAGCAGUGACGCAACCAAAUCGACUGCUGACAGCCCUUCCAAGAAGGAGCAACCAGCAAUGUCCCCAACAAGCAGCAGUCGGUCCAAAAAAUAAAAAACGGUGCUACAAAAACUUUUAGGCAAGCUGAAAGCAAAUGAUGGCGAAACUGCAAAGGCGAUCACCCAGCUUAAUGACAAGCAGCAUCAGCGGAUCCAAGAGCAACGUGAGGCAUAUAUGCAUUGCUUGCAGUUGGCAGUUGAUUGUGGGAUCGAUGAGGCGAGCGAGGAGUACUUUUUUCUUCAUGACCAUUUCAAGGACGAGCGAGAAUGAGACGCGUACUUGUCCCUGAAAACACGUGAAGCUAGGUGGAUUUGGAUCUAGAGAGCGUUCGAGAGGCGGCGUUGAUUGAGUGGUUACCAGUACCGUGAACAUUCAGUUAGGUCGUACUGCAGUAGUGAUGUGUUGUCGUGCCGUAGUGCGUAUGUUGUCCUAGGAACUAUUUAAUUAAGGGUCUGUAAUUUGCUAGAACCACUGUACCGUGUUGUUUAAUUGUAUUCGUACAAUGUAUCGGGGUGUGCAUGCAUGAGUAAUUUCUAUACUAUG